CCAAACUGUUGCCUCGGCGGGGUCACGCCCCGGGUGCGUCGCAGCCCCGGAACCAGGCGCCCGCCGGAGGGACCAACCAAACUCUUUCUGUGGUCCCCUCGCGGACGUUAUUUCUUACAGCUCUGAGCAAAAAUUCAAAAUGAAUCAAAACUUUCAACAACGGAUCUCUUGGUUCUGGCAUCGAUGAAGAACGCAGCGAAAUGCGAUAAGUAAUGUGAAUUGCAGAAUUCAGUGAAUCAUCGAAUCUUUGAACGCACAUUGCGCCCGCCAGUAUUCUGGCGGGCAUGCCUGUCCGAGCGUCAUUUCAACCCUCGAACCCCUCCGGGGGGUCGGCGUUGGGGAUCGGGAACCCCUAAGACGGGAUCCCGGCCCCGAAAUACAGUGGCGGUCUCGCCGCAGCCUCUCCUGCGCAGUAGUUUGCACAACUCGCACCGGGAGCGCGGCGCGUCCACGUCCGUAAAACACCCAACUUCUGAAAUGUUGACCUCGGAUCAGGUAGGAAUACCCGCUGAACUUAAGCAUAUCAAUAAGCGGAGGAA
rnacentral:rRNA from 1 species